CUAGUUGGCGGGGUAAAAGCCCCACCAAGGCGACGAUCCGUAGCUGGUCUGAGAGGAUGAUCAGCCACACUGGAAUGAGACACGGUCCAGACUCCUACGGGAGGCAGCAGUGGGGAAUUUUGGACAAUGGGCGCAAGCCUGAUCCAGCCAUGCCGCGUGAGUGAAGAAGGCCUUCGGGUUGUAAAGCUCUUUCGGCAGGAACGAAAUGGUUCGUGCUAAUACCACGGACUGAUGACGGUACCUGAAGAAGAAGCACCGGCUAACUACGUGCCAGCAGCCGCGGUAAUACGUAGGGUGCAGGCGUUAAUCGGAAUUACUGGGCGUAAAGCGUGCGCAGGCGGUUUCUUAAGUCAGAUGUGAAAGCCCCGGGCUUAACCUGGGAACUGCGUUUGAAACUGGGAGACUUGAGUGUGGCAGAGGGGGGUGGAAUUCCACGUGUAGCAGUGAAAUGCGUAGAUAUGUGGAGGAACACCGAUGGCGAAGGCAGCCCCCUGGGUUAACACUGACGCUCAUGCACGAAAGCGUGGGGAGCAAACAGGAUUAGAUACCCUGGUAGUCCACGCCCUAAACUAUGUCAACUGGUUGUCGGGGGAUUAACUCCCUUGGUAACGAAGCUAACGCGUGAAGUUGACCGCCUGGGGAGUACGGCCGCAAGGUUAAAACUCAAAGGAAUUGACG
rnacentral:rRNA from 1 species